rnacentral:rRNA from 1 species
UACGGAGGGUGCAAGCGUUAUCCGGAUUCAUUGGGUUUAAAGGGUACGUAGGUGGAUUUUUAAGUCAGAGGUGAAAUCCUGCAGCUCAACUGCAGAACUGCCUUUGAUACUGGAAAUCUUGAGUUUAGUUGAAGUGGGCGGAAUAUGACAUGUAGCGGUGAAAUGCAUAGAUAUGUCAUAGAACACCGAUAGCGAAGGCAGCUCACUAAACUUAGACUGACACUGAUGUACGAAAGCGUGGGGAGCGAACAGG